AAAACGGUUCUUUUCAGAACCACAAAAAAUAUUUCUAAACAAAUGA
rfam:TPA: Bos taurus unplaced genomic scaffold, whole genome shotgun sequence.